GCUGGUCUCCAAGGUGAAGAGUCUCUAGUCGAUAGAAUAAUGUAGGUAAGGGAAGUCGGCAAAUUAGAUCCGUAACUUCGGGAUAAGGAUUGGCUCUGAAGAUUGAGAUAGUCGGGCUUGAUUGGGAAACAAUAACAUGGUUUAUGUGCUCGUUCUGGGUAAAUAGAGUUUCUAUCAUUUAUGGUAGUUACUUGUUCCCCGGAUAGUUUAGUUACGUAGCCAAUUGUGGAACUUUCUUGCUAAAAUUUUUAAGAAUACUAAUUGGGUUAAACCAGUUAGUUCUUAUUAAUUAUAACGAUUAUCAAUUAACAAUCAAUUCAGAACUGGCACGGACUUGGGGAAUCCGACUGUCUAAUUAAAACAAAGCAUUGUGAUGGCCCUAGCGGGUGUUGACACAAUGUGAUUUCUGCCCAGUGCUCUGAAUGUCAAAGUGAAGAAAUUCCAGUAAGCGCGGGUCAACGGCGGGAGUAACUAUGACUCUCUUAAGGUAGCCAAAUGCCUCGUGCAUCUAAUUAGUGACGCGCAUGAAUGGAUUAACGAGAUUCCUACUGUCCCUAUCUACUAUGUUCGCCGGACUGGCGUUCUCCAGGCGACAACAGCUGCUGAAUGCGCAAGCGGCGCACGGGCUGGGUGGAUUCCCUAUCCAGGCCGGUCGGGGCUAAAAGGGAGGAUCGAGCUGAGUCCUUAAGAUCGGUACCACGGGUUGUGCAGUUCCAAGGCUGCACAUUGAGGUCGGCCCCCUAGUGGGAGUAUCGUGGUGGCUGUGGUUGAUACCCAAACGUUACGCGGGGAGAGCCGCUAGGCUCCUCGUGGAGUUGCGCUCUCAACCGGGUGCCGAGACCCAUAGAUCGGAAGACGUGUUAGAUACACCUCGCCCCUCACCAAGGGGGAUUGUAUGCCCGACCAGGAUACUUUCAAUUGGUACCAGAAGAGUCGCUAUGUACAUAGCUAUAGCUUCUUUUUAGGGGCGCUAACUGGCGCAUUGUACCAGGUUCCUGCGUAUGUAGCGGUGGUGCGUGAUGGCGUGAUAUAUGUAAAUAUAUCGCACUAAUCGAGGCUAAGCUGCAAAUAAACAUUAGACGCCGUGGUUGAAAUCCCUCCCUGAGGAACCGCCACGUAAAAUAAAGCUGAGAGAUCAGAUUCAUUCUGUCCCUAUCUACUAUCUAGCGAAACCACAGCCAAGGGAACGGGCUUGGAAUAAUUAGCGGGGAAAGAAGACCCUUUUGAGCUUGACUCUAAUCUGGCAGUGUAAGGAGACAUAAGAGGUGUAGCAUAAGUGGGAGAUAUUAGAUUUCGGUUUGGUAUCGACAAUGAAAUACCACUACUCUUAUUGUUUCCUUACUUACUUGAUUAAAUGGAACGUGUAUCAUUUCCUAGCCAUUAUACGGAUAUAUUUAUUAUAUCUUAUGGUAUUGGGUUUUGAUGCAAGCUUCUUGAUCAAAGUAUCACGAGUUUGUUAUAUAAUCGCAAACAAAUUCUUUAAUGAGAAAAUGCAUUUAUGUAUUUUCAAUUUGAAAAUUUGGUAUAACUCCAAUUACUCAGGUAUGAUCCAAUUCAAGGACAUUGCCAGGUAGGGAGUUUGACUGGGGCGGUACAUCUCUCAAAUAAUAACGGAGGUGUCCCAAGGCCAGCUCAGUGCGGACAGAAACCACACAUAGAGCAAAAGGGCAAAUGCUGACUUGAUCUCGGUGUUCAGUACACACAGGGACAGCAAAAGCUCGGCCUAUCGAUCCUUUUGGUUUAAAGAGUUUUUAACAAGAGGUGUCAGAAAAGUUACCAUAGGGAUAACUGGCUUGUGGCGGCCAAGCGUUCAUAGCGACGUCGCUUUUUGAUCCUUCGAUGUCGGCUCUUCCUAUCAUUGUGAAGCAAAAUUCACCAAGCGUUGGAUUGUUCACCCAUGCAAGGGAACGUGAGCUGGGGUUUAGACCGUCGUGAGACAGGUUAGUUUACCCUA
rfam:Drosophila persimilis strain MSH-3 cont1.019088, whole genome shotgun sequence.